GUCAGCGUGGUGUAGUGGUAUGAGUGUUGAUUAUGACUCUGGAAAUCAGGGUUCAAUUCCCUAUGCAAAUA